GAUCAUGGCUCAGGAUAAACGCUGGCGGCGCACAUAAGACAUGCAAGUCGGAACGGACUUAACCAUUAGUUUACUAUUGGAGCGGUUAGUGGCGGACUGGUGAGUAACACGUAAGCAACCUGCCUAUCAGAGGGGAACAACAGUUAGAAAUGACUGCUAAUACCGCAUAUGCCUAAGUACCACAUGGUACAAUAGGGUAAAGGAGUAAUCCGCUGAUAGAUGGGCUUGCGU
rnacentral:rRNA from 1 species